rnacentral:rRNA from 1 species
CCUACGGGAGGCAGCAGUGAGGAAUAUUGGUCAAUGGUCGGGAGACUGAACCAGCCAAGCCGCGUGAGGGAUGAAGGUACAGAGUAUCGUAAACCUCUUUUGUCAGGGAACAAAGGCGGGGACGUGUCCCCGGAUGAGUGUACCUGAAGAAAAAGCAUCGGCUAACUCCGUGCCAGCAGCCGCGGUAAUACGGAGGAUGCGAGCGUUAUCCGGAUUUAUUGGGUUUAAAGGGUGCGUAGGCGGUCUGUUAAGUCAGCGGUAAAAGCCCGGGGCGCAACCCCGGCCCGCCGUUGAAACUGGCAGUCUCGAGUUGGAGAGAAGUAUGCGGAAUGCGCGGUGUAGCGGUGAAAUGCAUAGAUAUCGCGCAGAACUCCGAUUGCGAAGGCAGCAUGCCGGCUCCACACUGACGCUGAGGCACGAAAGCGUGGGUAUCGAACAGGAUUAGAUACCCCUGUAGUC